rnacentral:piRNA from 1 species
GCUAAACACUGAAAUUCUAUGGGGAUACACA